rnacentral:misc_RNA from 1 species
GCGGAUCCUACUUCAGUUUCCUCCGACAGAUCUCACAUUAAUUCCACUGCUAAUAGCGCCAACAACGACCUAUUUGAACCUGUGCCCGGCACUUCUAUUUUGGGGAUCAAUCAGUCGAUAGUUUUUUGGCUACUAAACAGUUUGGCUUUCUUUAUUUCGAUAGUAACAAUAAAUAAUAUUUUCCCUGGCGGCCAUCAUUCGAUUCUACGGCUCACACUGCCAUUAGUCUAUUGCUAUACUACGGCAAUGGCUAUCACCUCGCCAUAUGGGGCACCAGCGGUAAUUGUUGCCUUGGUGUAUGCAAUUGUUUACAAGGGUAUAAUGGAGGCUCGUUUCCAAUUUUUGCCGCGACUUAUGUUUUCU